CUUCAGGGAGCCCAGCCACAGCGGCCGGCCGGCGGGCCGGUCCUGGCCGUAGGCGGAGAUCAGGGCGUGUGCCUC
rnacentral:antisense_RNA from 3 species